CCUACGGGAGGCAGCAGUGGGGAAUAUUGCACAAUGGGGGGAACCCUGAUGCAGCGACGCCGCGUGGGUGAAGGAGUAUUUCGGUAUGUAAAGCCCUAUCAGCAGGGAAGAACAAUGACGGUACCUGACUAAGAAGCACCGGCUAAAUACGUGCCAGCAGCCGCGGUAAUACGGAUGGUGCAAGCGUUAUCCGGAUUUACUGGGUGUAAAGGGAGCGCAGGCGGCGCGUUAAGCCUGGUGGGAAAGUCCGCGGCCCAACCGCGGGACUGCAUUGGGAACUGGGGCGCUGGAGUGCCGGAGGGGUAGGCGGAAUUCCUGGUGUAGCGGUGAAAUGCGUAGAUAUUAGGAAGAACACCAGUGGUGAAGGCGGCCUACUGGACGGUGACUGACGCUGAGGCUCGAAAGCGUGGGGAGCAAACAGGAUUAGAUACCCCAGUAGUC
rnacentral:rRNA from 1 species